UGGGGAAUAUUGCACAAUGGGCGCAAGCCUGAUACAGCCAUGCCGCGUGUGUGAAGAAGGCCUUCGGGUUGUAAAGCACUUUCAGCGGGGAGGAAGGCGUUAAGGUUAAUAACCUUGGCGAUUGACGUUACCCGCAGAAGAAGCACCGGCUAACUCCGUGCCAGCAGCCGCGGUAAUACGGAGGGUGCAAGCGUUAAUCGGAAUUACUGGGCGUAAAGCGCACGCAGGCGGUCUGUCAAGUCGGAUGUGAAAUCCCCGGGCUCAACCUGGGAACUGCAUUCGAAACUGGCAGGCUAGAGUCUUGUAGAGGGGGGUAGAAUUCCAGGUGUAGCGGUGAAAUGCGUAGAGAUCUGGAGGAAUACCGGUGGCGAAGGCGGCCCCCUGGACGAAGACUGACGCUCAGGUGCGAAAGCGUGGGGAGCAAACAGG
rnacentral:rRNA from 1 species